rnacentral:rRNA from 1 species
UGCAUGGCGGGUAGUUUGACUGGGGUGGUCGCCUCCAAAAGGGUAACGGAGGCUUCCAAAGGUCUGCUCAGCACGCUUGGUAACCGUGCGUAGAGUGCAAUAGCAUAAGCAGGCUUGACUGAGAGACUUACAAGUCGCACAGGUAGGAAACUAGGGUAUAGUGAUCCGGCGGUACCGCGUGGAAGGGCCGUCGCUCAAAGGAUAAAAGGUACUCCGGGGAUAACAGGCUGAUCUCCCCCAAGAGCUCAUAUCGACGGGGAGGUUUGGCACCUCGAUGUCGGCUCGUCACAUCCUGGGGCUGGAGAAGGUCCCAAGGGUUCGGCUGUUCGCCGAUUAAAGUGGCACGCGAGCUGGGUUCAGAACGUCGCGAGACAGUUCGGUCUCUAUCUAUUGCGGGCGUUAGACGUUUGAGAGGGGCUGGCCUUAGUACGAGAGGACCGGGUCGGACGAACCUCUGGUGCACCUGUUGUGACGCCAGUUGCAGCGCAGGG